rnacentral:rRNA from 1 species
AGAGUUUGAUCCUGGCUCAGAACGAACGCUGGCGGCAGGCCUAACACAUGCAAGUCGAACGCCCAGCAAUGGGAGUGGCAGACGGGUGAGUAACACGUGGGAACGUACCCUUCGGUUCGGAAUAACUCAGGGAAACUUGAGCUAAUACCGGAUACGUCCGAGAGGAGAAAGAUUUAUCGCCGAAGGAUCGGCCCGCGUCUGAUUAGCUUGUUGGUGAGGUAACGGCUCACCAAGGCGACGAUCAGUAGCUGGUCUGAGAGGAUGAUCAGCCACAUUGGGACUGAGACACGGCCCAAACUCCUACGGGAGGCAGCAGUGGGGAAUAUUGGACAAUGGGCGCAAGCCUGAUCCAGCCAUGCCGCGUGAGUGAUGAAGGCCUUAGGGUUGUAAAGCUCUUUUACCUGGGAAGAUAAUGACGGUACCAGGAGAAUAAGCCCCGGCUAACUUCGUGCCAGCCGCCGCGGUAAUUCA